UGGGGAAUUUUGGACAAUGGACGCAAGUCUGAUCCAGCCAUGCCGCGUGCGGGAAGAAGGCCUUCGGGUUGUAAACCGCUUUUGUCAGGGAAGAAACGAGUUUCUCUAAUACGAGAGGCCCAUGACGGUACCGUAAGAAUAAGCACCGGCUAACUACGUGCCAGCAGCCGCGGUAAUACGUAGGGUGCAAGCGUUAAUCGGAAUUACUGGGCGUAAAGCGUGCGCAGGCGGUUAUGUAAGACAGAUGUGAAAUCCCCGGGCUCAACCUGGGAACUGCAUUUGUGACUGCAUGGCUAGAGUACGGUAGAGGGGGAUGGAAUUCCGCGUGUAGCAGUGAAAUGCGUAGAUAUGCGGAGGAACACCGAUGGCGAAGGCAAUCCCCUGGACCUGUACUGACGCUCAUGCACGAAAGCGUGGGGAGCAAACA
rnacentral:rRNA from 1 species